GACGAACGCUGGCGGCGUGCUUAACACAUGCAAGUCGAACGGAAAGGCCCUGCUUUUGUGGGGUGCUCGAGUGGCGAACGGGUGAGUAACACGUGUGUAACCUGCCCUUGACUUUGGGAUAACUUCAGGAAACUGGGGCUAAUACCGGAUAGGAGCUCCUGCUGCAUGGUGUGGGUUGGAAAGUUUCGGCGGUUGGGGAUGGACUCGCGGCUUAUCAGCUUGUUGGUGGGGUAGUUGCUUACCAAGGCUUUGACGGGUAGCCUGCCUGAGAGGGUGACCGGCCACAAUGGGACUGAGAUACGGCGCAGACGGCUACGGGAGGCAGCAGUGGGGAAUAUUGCACAAUGGGCGGAAGCCUGAUGCAGCAACGCCGCGUGCGGGAUGACGGCCUUCGGGGGGUAAACCGCUUUCGCCUGUGACGAAGCGUGAGUGACGGUAAUGGGUAAAGAAGCACCGGCUAACUACGUG
rnacentral:rRNA from 1 species